CUUAUAUGUUUUCUCCCCUCAUUUUAUUAUCUUUGAAUGCUUUUGGGAUGAAGUGAGAAAAAAUAACUUGUGUGUUUUGGGUUUCAAAGAAAAUCUGAUUUAGAUAACUAUUUUUUUGACUAUUUUUCCCUUCAGUUUGGGUAUAUUAAGUCAUGGUGGUUUCAGUUUGGGUAAAUUAUGGAUGUUGGGAAGGCACCAUAAAACAAG
rnacentral:lncRNA from 1 species